UGGGUGGGCAGAAAGGUUAUUAGAGAACCACAGAGAGCUGACAAGCAAAGGAUCCAGAGCAUAUUGAUGGAAGCAAUCUGCCUACCCUGUACACCUCCUGAAGCACCAGCUACCGCUGAGGAAAACGAUGAAGUAUAAAUGAGAAGUAAAUGACCUCUGUCCAUUUCUCCCUCUGGCCCAACUGCUCUUCCAGUGACAGACUAUAUAUUGCCUUUUGCCAAGAAUCAGCAGUUCUUCAACUGUUCACCAUAGGGGCAAAUUCUAUCCUGGAGAGUGGAGAGUCAACUGAUUUCCCUUCCCCACUGUGGAAAAAGCCAGUUUUGGCUUCAUUUGCAUAUUCAUGUCAAUAUACUUGAUCUACAAAUAUGUCUAUUCUUUGAUUCUCCUUUGAACAAGUUACAACAUUUGGUUCUCUCACUUAACUGUGUUCAAUAAAUUCUUUAACACUUAUUCAUCUGAUAUUUGCAUAAAAAUCAUAAUGCUGCCUUUUUUGAAAAUUAUCCUUUAACAUACAGUAAAUAUGCACCACAGAGCCACUACAUAAGAUGCAAGAAACAUUUAUAAGCACUUUUAGGCACAGAGUCUUCUAUUUCACCAACUAGCUUUAACACUGAAUUAUUGGACCCAAUUUUAGUUUUUUUGUUUCUUCUCAGUGCUUUUGUUUUUCCUAUAUCUUGAAACAUUUUGAUCUUUCAUAGUAUUGGGACCUAUUU
rnacentral:lncRNA from 1 species